rnacentral:rRNA from 1 species
CAGCUUAUACAUGCAGUCGAGGGGCAGCGCGGGUAGCAAUAUCUGGCGGCGACCGGCAAACGGGUGCAUAAUAAAUACGCAACUUUCCUCUAACAGGGGCAUAGCUCAGAGAAAUUUGAAUCAAUUCCCCAUAAUAUGACCGAGUGGCAUCAUUUGGUCAUUAAAGCCUUCGGACGGUUAGAGAUAGGCGUGUUUCUGAUUAGAUAGUUGGUGGGGUAACGGCUCACCAAGUCUACGAUCAGUAGCUGAUGUGAGAGCAUGAUCAGCCACACGGGCACUGAGACACGGGCCCGACUCCUACGGGAGGCAGCAGUAGGGAAUAUUGGGCAAUGGACGCAAGUCUGACCCAGCCAUGCCGCGUGAAGGAUGAAUGUCCUCUGGAUUGUAAACUUCUUUUAUCAAGGAAAAAAAGACGGAUUUCUAUCUGUUUCGAUGGUACUUGAUGAAUAAGCACCGGCUAACUCCGUGCCAGCAGCCGCGGUAAUACGGAGGGUGCAAGCGUUAUCCGGAUUCACUGGGUUUAAAGGGUGCGUAGGUGGAUGUGUAAGUCUAUGGUGAAAUCUUUCGGCUUAACCGAAAAAUUGCCGUAGAUACUAUAUAUCUUGAAUACUGUAGAGGUAAACGGAAUAUGUCAAGUAGCGGUAAAAUGCAUAGAUAUGACAUGGAACACCAAUUGCGAAGGCAGUUUGCUAUACAAUUAUUGACACUGAGGCACGAAAGCGUCGGGAGCGAAAGGGAUUAGAGACCCCUGUAGUCGACGCUGUAAACUAUGUUCACUCGACAUUGGCGAUAUGACAGCCAGUGUCCAGCGAAAGCGUUAAGUGACCACCUGGAGUACAGACGCAAGUCUGAACUCAAAGGAUUUGACGGGAUCCGCCACAAGCGGUGG